UACGUAGGGACCAAGCGUUGUUCGGAUUUACUGGGCGUAAAGGGCGCGUAGGCGGCGUGACAAGUCACUUGUGAAAUCUCUGGGCUUAACCCAGAACGGCCAAGUGAAACUGUUGUGCUAGAGUGCAGAAGGGGCAAUCGGAAUUCUCGGUGUAGCGGUGAAAUGCGUAGAUAUCGAGAGGAACACCUGAGGUGAAGACGGGUUGCUGGGCUGACACUGACGCUGAGGCGCGAAAGCCAGGGGAGCGAACAGG
rnacentral:rRNA from 1 species